GAAAAAGGUCCCAUCUGGAGACCUGCUUUGCAAUACUUUCCUCUUCUAACCACAUCACCUGACAGAAUCUAGAAGAUCCUGCUUUGGGUAGGUGAGACCUAAAUGCUUUUGUCACCUUCUUCUAUUCCAGUGAGGAGCUGAGUGAGAUCCAAGAAGAAAAUGCUUCCUUCGGUAUCCUGGGUAGGUGCUCCUCCAGAAGCAGGGGUUCUAGGAAGAGGUCAAGACAAAGAGUGGAGAGAAGGAUGCCCAUAGCCUUUCUCAGAGGGGCUUAGAUUUGGAUUCUAUCUCCCACAGCAUCAUCUGUGACUGCCUUGCUCUUGGGUAAGCGACACACUCUGGGUUAGGGUUAAGGCUAGGGCGAGGGCUAGGGUGAGGGCUAGGGCUAGGGCUAGGGCUAGGGCUAGGGCUAGGGCUAGGGCUAGGGCUAGGGUUAGGGUGUUGCCGCUCCCCUCAGUGUUCUCUCACUUGAAAUCGUAUCAGUGACAGUAUAGCCUGCCCAAACAGCUUCUGGGUGUGCUCCUGGCCCAAGGGUAGGAAAGGGAUCAAGAACUUCCAACUCAACCCAGAAAUGUGCAAUCCAUUAAGGUUGCUUUGCCAUCCUUGCCCUUUGCUAAGACAACAAGUCUUGCCAGGAAAGUAGCACUUACCAGCUCCCCAAGCACACGUGACCUCAGGGGUUCACAUGCCCACUUGAGAGAGCAGAACCCACUUAGCCCAUGAACUGUAGUGAGAGCAUCACUCCCCACCCAGAAUCACAGGUGACCCCAUUUCACAUGUCUCUGAGACCAGCUCUUGACAGUCCUCUUUCUAGGUAUCAAUCAAUUGUUUCAUGUUUCUACAUGUUACAUAAACUUUCCACUGUUCAGAGAUGACUCUCCUGGCGACAGGAAUUUUCCAGAUGGAGGAUGGCAAGCCAAGAUCUCACCCCUUUCUUUUCUAAGCACAGUGUGUGAAGCGUCUUCUCUAGAAGAAACUAGUACAGCCAGGUCAUCGUCACUCCAUGUAAGAUGGUAAUUGCAGCAGUCAGUGCUCAGCUUGACGUUCUGACACAGGACUAAGGUAUGGGCUCCAUUUCUGCAUAGGUAACUCAUUGGCCUACUGAACCAGUAAGUGACACUCAUGGACCAGUAAGUGACACAGUUACUUUUAUUCUCUUGACUGACACAUUAGUGGGCUGAGCUCAACAUGUGAUCUAGAAAACAAUCGAAAAGCUAACAUCAAGGACUGGGAGUUCUGCUGAGGAAAUGAGUUCCUGUCCCAGAACUCAUGCUUUGUUUUGUGAAGAUGGAAAAACAUCUGUACGGUGCUACACUCUGUGGGAAAACCAGCGCUCGGGAAAACGGGCACAGAGGGAUCCCUGGGGCUCACUGCUCAGCCAAACUAGCAUAUUUGGCAAACUUCAGGCCAGUAAGUGAGCCACCAACAAAAGGUAUGCAGAGAGCACUUAAAGAAGACCCCUGACAUGAGCACACAUGUGCUGCUUCAUCACACAUGUGUGUGCAAACACACGUAUACACUUUUAAAAAAAAUGAUGUCAAAAAACAAUUCCUAGGAAUUUGUCAAUGAUAGGUUUAGAAAUCAAAUAGAUAGCUUUCAUCCACGCAUAGUACCUACUAUUUCUCCUUGUAAAUCAAUAUUCCUCCCUGGCUCCCUGGCUCCCUGGCUCCCUGACUCCCUGGCCUCCUGGGUCCCUGGGUCCCUGGUUCCCUGGCUCCCUGGCUCCCUGGCUCCCUGGCUCCCUGGCUCCCUGGCUCCCUGGCUCCCUGGCUCCCUGCCUCCCUGCCUCCCUGCCUCCUUGCCUCCCUGCCUCCCUGCCUCCCUGCCUCCCUGCCUCCCUGGUUCCCUGCCUCUCUGCCUCCCUACAUUUUUUUCCUCCCUGCCUCUCAUGGAAGUAGCUUUCCACAAUUGCUCCACAUCUGUUGGGAGCCAACUCCUAGCAGAAAGCAGCUAUCAUCUCUGCAGCCAUCUCAGGCUAUUUACUUACAGGUGGUACUUUUCCACCCUGAUGAGAGACUUGUUUUCCUAGCAUGAUGUUUUUGAAAGAAGCCCACCACAGCUGAAAAUACUCUGAUAACAUCUUGUUUUUCUCCUAUACACCCUGGACUGUGGUUAAGUGUCUCCAACUGCACUCCCCAGCUUGUGCUUAUAUACUCAUAGUUGCCUUCCAAUAAAUGAGACUCAAGACU
rnacentral:lncRNA from 1 species